UCUGUGGAGAGAAUUGACAGUGUCACCAGAUUAUGCCUUGGCUCCUCAGGUCAACUCCUUUAAGAGGUUAGCAUCUAAAUAAUAUAAAACAACAACUGCAACAUUACCAAAAUACAGCAUAGCUGCUACAGAAGAGAUUCACCUCCGGGUAUAUUUCUACAUCAAAACCCUUGAAUUUCUGUUAGCCAGUUUUGUUUCUCCCUACCAAUUUAGUCAAGAGUGCAGGUAGUAGUACCAAGCACAGAAAGCCUGCUGACAAGUAUUCAUGGAGAGGAGGUCUACUGAGGCAGCAGUAACUCCCUGUCCAUGACAGACUGAGGGUGUACAUACAGUCUAUAGAACUGUACAGGAAAGCAUUAUAUAACUAUUUUUAAAGGGCAACAACAUUGCACAGUGAUAAAUUGGUGAUCUGAUGCUUAACAUCACAAAUUAGUCUUGUAGUGUAGUAUUAUUAAACAGACAGAAGGUGGCUCCAAAACACCAGCCUUUUCAAGCUGGUGCUCUGCAGUACUGGCAGCAUUUUUAAGCACUACAAAUCCUGUUCCAAAAUCCAGUAUGGGGAAGGUUUUCAGGACCCUUCUGCACAUCCCUGCCAGCAUGCCUUUGAACUCUGCUCCUUUGGUUACAGUUACAGAUGCCCCAGAACAUCUGAAUUUACAUUUGACUCUGCCAACAGUGAAUAAUCCUUUUGGAUCUUAAGGAACAGGAGACAUUAGCGUAUUGCCUGGCUCUUCAAAAGCAACCAUAAUUCAAUCAGUUAACCAUAAUCUUGAUUAACUGCAGCCAUCCCUCACCUGACAGAGAAUCUGAAGGCUACAAAAGCACUGAAGGUAUAGACUGCAUUGAACUGGAAAGAUCUAUACGUGCCACUUGGAAAGUGAAGCUUUAUGUAUACUGACCAGCAGAACAGUCCUGAAGCAACUAAAGAAAAAUAUUAAGUAGCAACUGAAAAGUUUUAAUUUACAAUGUGUUUUCAUUGCCCUGAAAGAUUCUUCAAGGACCUUGCGGGCGGUGAGGUGAAGACACUGUUCAUGCCCCAAGGCAUGUGAAAACAAGAGGAAGCUGCAGAAAUGAGUAGUUCAAACUCUAAGAGAGGAAAGGCAACUGAAAACUAGUUCUGCAGACACUUAACAUUUAGAAUUUUUCUUUCAGCUCGUUUUCAGCAUGUGGUGCUUGGUCACGCUGUUGUUUACUAGAGAGAGCAGGAUCAGCUGCAGAAGGACAUAAAAAGGUGAGCAAGUGGAUGAAAACAGCAGGAGUUAAAAGCUCUUUAUAGAGCUAUGUCAGGCAUCAAAACUAUCAUUUGAGCCCUUAGGCAUAGACUGUUCAUCACUGCUUACUUCCUUUAUACAAUCCACAUAUAAGGAUUACACAAUGUAGUGCACAAACACAAGCCACCUCAUUUGUCUGGUCUUGCAGUAAGCUGGAGCAAGACAGUUCUAGGCAACUCAGACUUAUUUUGGGUCUUAAGACAAUGCUUGUUGCCAAGAGGAGAAGCAGAUUGGACUGUCUGUACCUCAGCAGUUUUCUGAUGCCGCAGAAAUCCUCAACUGCAAGAUAGAAAGCAUAGUUUAGAGUUGCCCUUAGGCGCAAAAAUGAAUCUGUAAUUAGAUUACAGUAAUUAGAUUUUAGUUAAAAGAAACAGUUUGGCAACUGUACAAGUUCACUUACAUGAAAAUAUAAGUGAAUAAAUCUGUUGUAACAUCCCACUGCAUACCCUUUUUGCCUUUCCUUGAAAAUUAGGCUAAUUAUGCAAAAUAGGAAUUUAAAAGAAGAAUCAUUAAGAGUAAGGGGGUAACUACAAGGAUUGUCCUGUUGAUUAGAAUCGUGUCUUCCUCAUGUUUCAAGUGCUGUGAACAGAGUCUUCACAGGUCUUGGACGAAGAGAGGAGCCCCUGCCAUGCCACGAACAUCUCGCACCUGGUACACAGCUCCCACCCCUUCUGGAGUUAUCUCCCUUAACCAGAUAGGAAGCAGCUUGGGGCCAUCAAAGGGCUCGCUUGGGCACAGAAGCCUAACUGCAUUCCACCACUGGCACUGUGACAGUACAGUCCCAAAUUAGGCAAUGGAUGGGAAGCAGAAAGGACACGAAGGUGACACUUAAAGGCACUUUUCAAAAAGUGCUCACAUGAUACAGAUUUUGAUUAUUUUAUUUCCUAUGUAAAGUUCUGGCAGAUUUCAACUUCCCCAGUAUGGAAAGCAUGAGGAAUUUGCAGCUCCAUUCUAAAUCUCAGAAAGAAAUGACUAUGGGUUUAACAGAGAAAAGCCUAUGAUGCAAAUAAUAAAAUAUAACACAUAUGAAGUCACA